AAAGAAAAGAAAAAAAUAGCAAGCUCAGCUUUCUUUCUGAUGGCAGUUUCACUAAUGGGUACUAUUAUUGUUAUUAUUACUUUUUAUUGAAAAUAGAUUGUUUUCUCAUUCUUUAUAUGUCCUAAAAAUCUUAUCAAAACCCUAAACUGGAAGCCAUAAAAUAGCCUGAAAAGACCUGAAACAGUACCUUGUAGCCAAUAUGAAUGCUGAUCAUCUACUCUCAUAAGUGCUUUCAUCAACGAGGUUGAGAACAUUGGGCUGUAGCUCAGCAGUAGAGUGCAUGCUUUGCAUGCUUUGUAUAUGUGAGGUUCCAGGUUCAAGGUUUUGUUUUGCGGCAUAUCUCUGCACAUGGUGUCCCAGACUUUAUCUUCCUCUAUGAGGUUAUAUAUGCAUAGCUAUUUAUUGGAUGAAAUGCUCAUCUCUCACAGUGACAACAAUGUGAUGACAUUUCCAUGGAGACCACCAUAUUCUGGUAUCACUGUGUGUGUCCAUGGUGAUGUGAUGAGCUGGAAAGAGGAAAAGCGUCAUUGUAUACCUUCCACUGAUGGAGUCUGCACAGGAUGUUUCUGAACAAAGUAUCCCAGACUUUAAAUUUUGGUGAGGAGAUAAUAUAUGCAUAGCUAAUUAUUGGAUGAAACAGCUCAUCUCUCACCAUGGCAUCAAUGUUCAUUUCUGACUGUGACUACUUUUCCAUGGAGACCGCCAUAGUCCAGAUGUUUCUGCACAAGGUAUCACAGACUUUAAAAUUUUUUAGGAGAUCAUAGCUAAUUAUUGGAUGAAAUUAUUCAUCUGUCACCAAGACAUCAAUGUUCAUCUCAGACUGUGACUACUUUUCCAUGGAGACCACCACAAUCUGAAAUUUUACAGCCUGAUGCGGAGUUGGUAUUGCUGAGUGUUCCAUAUUCAUCUGGAAAGUCGGUAGGGAAAACAUUUUUUUCUGCCAUAAAGUUGGGAGAGUGUACAUUGUUCACUUCAUGGAAGUCCUAAUGAUCCAGUUCAUCAUUUAAUGAAAGUUCCAGUAUUUUGAACUUGCAGAGAAUUUGGUGAAUUACGAGAAAGGAAACAAAUGUCCAUCAACAAAUUUGGUGGAAAACUACUAAGAUAAACAAAGGCCAAAUGUUUGCUACAAAUGAAAUCUGCACAAUCAUAGAAAGUCCUCUAUCUCACAUCCAGCUCCCUUAAGAAGCUGAGAGAUCAUGGGUGGAGAGAAAGUGAUGCAUGUGAAUAUCUGUAAUUCUGGACCAUCUGACCACCCCUGGAAGGAAGUAAUGGUGCCCAUCUCAGUGUUUUGAAGACCUUGAAGAUGAAGGUUUACAAAUGACAACUUACAGAGGGUGACGUGCAGAAAGUCUUCAGCAAAUGCUAGUUGUCAGUGGCACUUUGAGUCCUCUGUCUGUCAAUGUCAGGUUCUUCUGUGAGAAGAACAGCAGGACUACAGAGAGAACACCCAGAAAGUUGACAACAAGCUGAAAUGUGCCCAUGUUUCCAAUAUGUAUGAGUAUUGGUGUGUGUGUGUGUGUGUGUGUGUGUGUGUGUGUGUGUGUGUGUGUGUACAUACAUGGGUGUGUGUAGGAAGUGUUCAUGAGAUGAGCUGAGAUGAGGAAAAAUGUCACUGCACAGCUUGUACUGGACUGAAUGUAGACAGGCUACUCCAUCCCUAUAUUCAAUACAGUUUAUCACAUGAGCUUUCUCAGCUGCAUUACUCUCUUUUCCAUGAGCUUUCUUUCCCCUUAUUCUUCCUUCUAGUAGAACCUGAGAGGAUUCUGUGGACUCUCCAUACAGAAGCAGCCUCUGGAGAAGAACCAAGUUUGGUGUAGAAUCUUAUCAGCAUGUUACCAGAGCGAGAGUGGUAAGAUCAUGUGGGACACAACAGGUGAGUCAUUUCCUAUUCUCUUCCGAUCCCUCUGACCAGCAGCAGUUCUGUGGAGUCGGGAUGCCAUGAAGGAAAGCCUCCUGUGGUAUCAGGUGGCAGCAAAGAGCAGCACACUUGGGAACAAGGGCAUUAAUAGACUCCCCAGAUGCCUGAACUCGGCAUGGGUGCCUCUAAAUGACCAGUACUUGAAUGGAAGUCCUUCACAUCAUUUUCCAAAAUGGGCCAUGAAUUACUGUAUCACGUUUGCAGGUAGUGCUCAUUAAAAUGAUAGAUACACACAAACACAGCUAAAUCAAACCCUGGCAAGUGGGGUGGGGCAUAUCCAGUUCUUUUUGAUGGCUCUCCAUGUUUAAAAAGUAUUGCCAGUGGGUUUGCAAUUCUGUGUUCUAGUAUAUUGUUUCACAGACCGCUUAAAUCCAUCAACAUGCUCCCUUGCUGUUCAUUUAAAUAUCAGUGUUUUAGGUGGUGUGUGAAAUAUGCAUCAGGCCCUUCAAUUAUGUUGUGUUUAUCCUGAAAAUUCACACACUGGCCUCUUUUGUGGGAACCAGAAUCCUGCACUGAGAAGACAAGCAGGGUCCUGGAGUAUCACGUUAGAUUAUCUUAUCACUAAGCAGAGGAAAUCAGUAAUUGGAGCGACUCCAUGUAUUACUAGUGCUUUAAAGAACACAAAGGGUAUAGAACAUGGUUGUGAUGGGGACUAGUGUCAGUGCAGUUGUCCCAAAUGUUCGGUUUAAGGAGGUAGCAUUAGACCUGAGUCCUGAAGGACAAAAAGAAGCAAGGCAUGUGCAAACCAUGUUGGUGGUGGUGUGCUUGUACUACCCGGAGUACAAUGAAUCUAAGAGAAGAGGUCAAGGCCAGUGGCCAGAGCCUUGGAGACAAUGUGUGCACUGCAUGGAGAUGAGAUAGAAAGGCAGAUAUAUGGUGUUUUCCUCUGUGUAUGUCAUUUGGAUUAUAAUGUAUUGUGGAAGGUUGCUGGGGGUGACCUGAUUUGAUUCUUUUGUUGGAAGGUAUCUUGCCACUGUGUAGAGAUGGGCCAAAGAGGGCAGGAUGAGGGCGUGUGUGGAGUCCACCAUUGAGGGAUGUUUCAAAAGAGCAGGGGAGGGGUGGAAGUGGUUAGAUGCCAUGCUGUAAUAGUGCACAGCGUGAGAGCCAGCCCUGCGCAGCCUUUUGUCUGGCCACGUGAACACACAGUGACUCUGUUUACUAACAUCAGUUGUUCUGGGUGCUUUUGACACAUUCUCAGGAGAGUCUGACACCCAAAAUAGUUUUUGUAAAAAUUAGCAAUUUAAUAACAUAUGUCAUCGAUGAAUUAUUUUUAGAUGUAAGCUUCUUCUCUAAGUACAACUGUAGCAGCAUUUCCAAAGGAAUGAGAUUCUUUACAUUUCUCUAAAUAUAAAAAGUGAACACAAAAUUUAGUCUAUUUUUGAAAAUGGUUAUUGUUCUACAGCCUGUAGUUGUGCUGAUAAAGCAAAUGAGUAGGUUUUAGGCAAAGUAAAAGUGCAGUCAGUAUCUAGAUGCUACAGCUAUUGCUUGUCCCCAUCCUUUCUUCAGAAGACUAUCUUUCAAAACACGUAUUUUGCCAGGUGGUGGUGGCCCACUCCUUUAAUACCAGCACUCACGAGGCAGAAGCGGGUAGAUCUCUGUGAGUUCGAGGUCAACCUCUAAUUCCAGGACAGCCAGGACUACACAGAGAAACUCUCCCUCGAAACUCCAGCCCCCCUCAAACUGCAUAUUUCAACAUUACUCUGAGACAUACACAGGAACCUCUGAGUGGUAUUUAAAACAGAAUGCUAAGUCCUAACUCGCAGAACACCAGGUCCAGGAGGAUCCACCGGUUAUGCUGACCCAGCUCCUGCCUCUAUGCCACCUUAAGCUUUGGUGGUCCAUCAUUUGCAUGAUGGUAGGAUUUAAUAUCCUUUCAUUAUCACAGCAAAGGAAGACUUUUGGACACCCCCCCACUUCAUACACCCUUUUCUGACCAGACUAUGAGAUAUGACAUCAUAGAUGAAGUGUAAACUCUUUAUACCUUGUAGUCCUGCCACAGAGCAGAAAUAGUGUAUAGCAUCACCUCUGUGAGAAUACUGUCCCUGUUGAGAAUUCAGGCAACAUUUCUGUAGGAGCAAAUAUGAAGCCACACUCUUCCCUUACUUGACAUGUGAUGCUGGAAUCCUUGAUUUGCAUUUGCCAGGCUGCUGAAGUAUGCAUCAUUUAUGCAGACAAACAGUGUUCUCUGUACAGAACUGAUCAUUGGAACAACUUAGGAUUUAGGAAUCAGAGUUUAACAAUGUACAUCCUGGUACAGCUUUCUCCUCCUUCCCAGAGAAGAGAGGAUGGUUCAUUAACCCAGAGAGCACAUAUGCCCCAGACACAAUCCGCAUAUGUUUCAGAUAUAGUAUGCACUCGCUCUUAUGGUGUAUACCAAGCUUUGGGGCCCCUUCUGUGUUGCAGGAAGAUCUCCAAAGUAUUUCCUUUUCUUUACUGUCAUUUUAGAGCUACUAGUGUGAUAUGAGGAAAGGAGUUAUCCACUGAGCCCUACAAAGAGGAUAAUGCAGAUGAAAAAGAAUCAGGAAUCACAAGCCAGCCACAGGACCCUUGUCUUAGUCACUGUUCUGUUGCUGUUAUGACUAAGGUAAGGAAAUUAAAACUAUCUUGUCUUCAGCUACACCAACGACCUCAGAAGAAUAUAAUAUUACCUGAGAAAUGGGAGAAGGAUGCAAGCAACUUUUGGGAGUCUUGCAGGGUAAACAGAGACAGCUGACAGCCAGGACAGCCAUCCAAAGUUCCUCUGUAA